UUGAUUAUGGACCCAAACAACAAACUGCUUACUGUUGGGAGCUCUCAAGCUUUAAAGGGGUGCACCCAGAGGUCUGCACUUUAGUUCUUAAAUUCCAAAAGUUCACACCUAGAAAAUCCUGAAAGUGGUGCCAUCUACUUUUGGAAUAAUGAUAAACACUUCUCUGGUCUGGUUAUUAAAAUAGUAUUCUAAACACACAAUUCCAGCAGUGUAACAAUGAAAAUGUUAACUGUCGUAAAAUAAAAGCAGUACUCGAGUGAAACUCUCAUAUAAUGGAAUAAAAGCUGCCUUAAAUCAGUCUUUACAGUUCUUUAUAUCUCCCUUAGUGGUACCCAUUAAUGACAAUAAGCAAUUCUUAGAGUAAAAUACUAUACCACCACAAAUGCAUUUAUCACCCUGUAAUCAUGUUCAAACAUAAGUCUCCAUUCACACACUACUGGUUUUAUUCUCUUGAUCAUAUUCAUGAUGCUAACCAGCAAAACAGCAUAUUAGGAGAUUUGGUCUCACACUGCUAUAAUAGCAACUUACUAUUUAAAAUGGCACAUGUCAGAUAUUAAGGGUUAAAAUAAGCACCUUGUAAUAUACAUCCAAAAGAAACUCUUUUAACCCAGUUAUCCAUGAGCAAUAUUGAAAGAUAAAUACUUAGGAGACGACUCAAGUAAAAUGAUCCAAAUUCAGUUUCUAGAAUUCUGAUGUACGCAGGACAAAGUGAAUGAUGAUAAGAAUUCCAAGAGCAUCAGGAUAGGUAAGAUUUGUGCUACCCUAAAAAGAUGUAUUUUCUGCCUUGUGCAGAAAUGUACAUCUCCAUAUCUAGUAUAGUGAUGCACUAUAGCAGUGGGUUCGUCACAGCCUUGAAGAACCGCAUCCUGAACUCCUAACGGUUCAAGCAGAGAAGUGAAACUAUCAGAAUGGAGAUAGAGAUAUAUGAAGAGAUAUACGAAGAUAUAAGAUAUAUGAAGAUAUAAGAAGAGAUAUAUGAAGAAAUCUGUCACAGAGGUUUGACCCUACAAAAUUUGGGGAUGUGGUUAAACUGUCUCUGUAAGGCUGUUACUUUUGGAUCCGUGGCUGGAGCUUGAAGUCCACAAGGCAGGGAGUCACGAAGGAAAGAUAGAGGAGACUCACGACAAGCUGGAAUGCAGAAGCACAAGCCAUGGUCACGGGGACCGCCUGAAACAAAAGCUACCUUCUGCUGCCCCUGACCCUGACAUCCUGCAGAAGCCGGAGUCCUUUGUUCCAGAAUUAAAAACACAUUUGACUCAAGAGUCAAAAGUGAAAGGAGGAUCCGGCAGAAGACCGAGCAAUUUGCCCUCUCUGGCUUUCUGGCUGGCUGCUGCCACAUGCCACGGAGGUGAACCAGCAGAUAAGCAACAAUAUAUGUGAGCUACAAAGUGACUACUGUAUCACUCCUGUAAAUCUCACACAAGAAUCUCUUUUGUGACCCACCCCAGCCAGAAACACAUAAAAAGGAAUUCCAGGAAAAGGCUGCUGGGGAUGAGUUUAUCGUUGUGUGGUGCCAGCCAGAAAAACACUAUUUUCUCACUGGAAUUCAUAUGAGGUCAUUUACCCUUAAAAGAGUUCCAAAUUGAGUGACCUUGAAGAUUCCAUUUUAUUCUUGGCUCAGAAGAGACAGAGAUUAUCCUGGAGCUUAAUAUAAGAGAUAAUGUGCAAGGACACUGCCUUUCCAGUCCACCCCAUUCCCAAGGAUGAUCCCAACCUGCACUCCCUGAAGUUCUACCAAUCAGAGACAAGAGAGUGGAUGGGAUAGCUCUGGUCCCCACAACAUCCUUAACGACAUUUGAUGAGAAGACAGUCUUCUAGAAGAAAGGAACUGAAGAGCAUGACUGCUUUAUUAAUUAAACUUUGGAAGACUCACA